CUAGUGCGGUGAACAGUGUUUCGUAAUUUUGGUCAGACGCAAAGCAGAGCUCAUUAUUUCAAAAGAGAAAAUGGUCGCAGUCGUUAACAUGAUUAAGCGAUAUUGUCAUGUCGUCUUUUUUAUUAUGGCCCUUUUUACAGAUACAAGCUUUGGUUUGACAGAGUCCUAUCAGUGUUCACAGACCUGUUAUAGCCAACAGCGCUACACUGAAGCAUGUGGAUUCCUUAAUAUGGCCAGAUGUACAAGAUAUAGGCAAGUUUCUCAAGCUUGCUAUCACAGCUGCUACAGGUGCGUAACGGGAUGGACUGGAAGCGGCUGUAAUACGCGUA